CCUACGGGUGGCUGCAGUGAGGAAUAUUGGUCAAUGGACGAGAGUCUGAACCAGCCAAGUAGCGUGAAGGAUGACUGCCCUAUGGGUUGUAAACUUCUUUUAUAUGGGAAUAAAAUGUUCCACGCGUGCGCUCUUGUAUGUACCCUAUGAAUAAGCAUCGGCUAACUCCGUGCCAGCAGCCGCGGUAAUACGGAGGAUCCGAGCGUUAUCCGGAUUUAUUGGGUUUAAAGGGAGCGUAGGGGGUCUGUCAAGUCAAGGGUGAAAUCCCCGCGCUCAACGUGGGAACUGCCUUUGAAACUGGCAAACGGGAGGGUGUGAGGGGGUAGUGGAAGUCCGGGUGUAGGAGUGAAAUCCGUAGAUAUCGGGGGGAACAUCAGUGGCGAAGGCGACUAUCUGGGACAUAACUGACGGUGAGGGGCGAAAGCGUGGGUAGCAAACAGGAUUAGAUACCCCAGUAGUC
rnacentral:rRNA from 1 species